CCUACGGGUGGCAGCAGUGGGGAAUAUUGCGCAAUGGGCGAAAGCCUGACGCAGCGACGCCGCGUGAGGGAUGAAGGUCUUCGGAUCGUAAACCUCUGUCAGCAGGGAAGAACGGUCACUGUGCUAAUCAGCAGUGAAUUGACGGUACCUGCAGAGGAAGCACCGGCUAACUCCGUGCCAGCAGCCGCGGUAAUACGGAGGGUGCGAGCGUUAAUCGGAAUUACUGGGCGUAAAGCGCUCGUAGGCGGUAUGUCAAGUCAAGUGUGAAAUCCCCGCGCUUAACGUGGGAACUGCCUUUGAUACUGGCAAACUGGAGUGUGUGAGAGGAUAGUGGAAUUCCAGGUGUAGGAGUGAAAUGCGUAGAGAUGUGGAGGAAUAUCAGAGGCGAAGGCGACUAUCUGGCAAAGAACUGACGCUGAGGAGCGAAAGCGUGGGUAGCAAACAGGAUUAGAUACCCCUGUAGUC
rnacentral:rRNA from 1 species